CAUAAGGAACUGCAUUAAAGGGUGGCAGGAUUAGGAAGGUUGGGAGCCACUGUAUUGGUGUAACUCUCACAGGAAGACCUGAACACCUGGCAACUAUAACAGAGCAGUCUACCCAUACAAAUCUUGGAGUCUAAAUUCUUGAGAAGCUCUAGUUCUGAUGCCUGAGGACAGGAAAGAUAGGUAUCCUAUCCCCAGAGGAAAAAGCGAAGAGCCAUCAGUCCUCUGUCUUUGUACUGAAGUUGGACUACUAGCUGAUUAGGUAGUGUCUGCCCACACUGAUGAUAGAUCUGCCUACUCUAUCCACAGACUGACAGGCAAGGCUCCUGGGAAAUUCCAAUCAUGCCAAUCGAAUGAGAAGCCAACUGGGGCCCCUAUCGACUGUAAACGAGUGUGUUCCGUGCCUGUGGAGAUUCAAGAACAAUGAAUGCUUAGCCUUGGUGUCUCUUAAUUUAGUGAAGUUGACAUCCCAAAUUUAACAUCAUACUCUGGCAGAACAAUAGGCUGGGAUUGCAACAGUUUCAAUUUGAUGGAACAGUUUCGGAAGCUAAUCCCGUUUUCCUUUCAUGAGCAGCUGACUACACAGAGGUACAACGUAAACGGGACAUAAAAUAUUCCUAUCUGAUUCAGCCAACCAGACGCCAGAGGGAUGGAUCAAUGGUGAGAAUCGAAGGAUCGGGAACAAGCUGAGGAGAAAGAGACAUCAGGACUGAGUACGAGCAGGAAGCCAGACAACAGAGAGCUAGGGAGAAUGAGGUUCCCUUGGGACUUUGGGAUAACCUAAUACCAGGAAGUGGCUCGCUUGAGGGAAUGGGAUCUCUGCAGUCUCCACAGCCGUCACAGUGACCAUCCACGGGAGGGAAGAAGGAAGGUGGCUCAGCCAGUGUUGGUUCAACCUUCUGCAGUGUGACCCGGAGUCUUUUAUUUUAGGCAUAUUUAAGUACAGCACAAUUGGUGAAAAUGUAUUCCUGUGAUAAUGAACUCAAUGCUGUGUGCACAACAAAGCAAACAUAAAUCUCCUUGAAGAACAAAGGAAGCUAAAUACAGAAAUGACUACAUUGAGACUAGGAAGUCUAUGAAGAUGGGUUCUAUAGACGGACCGAGAAGAACAAGCUCACAGAUCACACAGAGGCCACCAGGCUCCUAACCACACCCAUUCCCAGCCUUCUGGGUGGAUAACAGGUUAUCCAUCCCUUCCUUUGAAGCAACAACCCUGUGUGUUUAACAUUCAUGCUUGUGUGUGAGCACAGAGAUCUCCAUGCCUUCUACAACUGCUCUGUAAAGGUGAAAUGCUCUGGUAUUAUCGAAUUAGUCGCAUUGGAAGAUGCCACCCACCAGAACUAAUCAGACUCAACCAUCUUUAUUCCUUGAUAGCGCCCUGGCUUCUCUCCCAUCAAUGUAACAGCUGCACUUUUUUAAAGGCAGGCUGAGAACACUCCCGCUGCAGAUUCAGUGCCGGGUGGCUGCAAUCAUGACUGUUUACUGAAUAUUAAUAUUCUGUGUG